rnacentral:rRNA from 1 species
AUUGAACGCUGGCGGCAGGCCUAACACAUGCAAGUCGAGCGAGCGGCGGACGGGUGAGUAUUGUCUGGGAAACUGCCUGUUGGAGGGGGAUAACUACUGGAAACGGUAGCUAAUACCGCAUACCAUCAGAUGUGCCCAGAUGGGAUUGGCUAGUAGGUGGGGUAACGGCUCACCUAGGCGACGAUCCCUAGCUGGUCUGAGAGGAUGACCAGCAAACCUGGAACUAGAACAGGGUCCAGCUUCCAACGGGAGGCAGCAGGGGGGAAUAUUGCACAUGGGGCGCAGGCCUGAUGCGGCCAUGCGGGGUGUGUGAAGAAGGCCUUCGGUUUGUAAAGCACUUUCAGCGGGGAGGCGUUACCCGCAGAAGAAGCACCGGCUAACUCCGUGCCAGCAGCCGCGGUAAUA